rnacentral:tRNA from 1 species
GGGCUCGUAGCUCAGUCGGUAGAGCGUCAGGCUCUUAACCUGAUGGUCAGGGGUUCGACCCCCCUCGGGCCCG